rnacentral:rRNA from 1 species
GACGAACGCUGGUUGGCGUGCUUAACACAUGCAAGUCGAACGGAAAGGCCCUGCUUUUGUGGGGUGCUCGAGUGGCGAACGGGUGAGUAACACGUGAGUAACCUGCCCUUGACUUUGGGAUAACUUCAGGAAACUGGGGCUAAUACCGGAUAGGAGCUCCUGCUGCAUGGUGGGGGUUGGAAAGCUUCGGCGGUUGGGGAUGGACUCGCGGCUUAUCAGCUUGUUGGUGGGGUAGUGGCUUACCAAGGCUUUGACGGGUAGCCGGCCUGAGAGGGUGACCGGCCACAUUGGGACUGAGAUACGGCCCAGACUCCUACGGGAGGCAGCAGUGGGGAAUAUUGCACAAUGGGCGGAAGCCUGAUGCAGCAACGCCGCGUGCGGGAUGACGGCCUUCGGGUUGUAAACCGCUUUCGCCUGUGACGAAGCGUGAGUGACGGUAAUGGGUAAAGAAGCACCGGCUAACUACGUGCCAGCAGCCGCGGUGAUACGUAGGGUGCGAGCGUUGUCCGGAUUUAUUGGGCGUAAAGGGCUCGUAGGUGGUUGAUCGCGUCGGAAGUGUAAUCUUGGGGCUUAACCCUGAGCGUGCUUUCGAUACGGGUUGACUUGAGGAAGGUAGGGGAGAAUGGAAUUCCUGGUGGAGCGGUGGAAUGCGCAGAUAUCAGGAGGAACACCAGUGGCGAAGGCGGUUCUCUGGGCCUUUCCUGACGCUGAGGAGCGAAAGCGUGGGGAGCGAACAGGCUUAGAUACCCUGGUAGUCCACGCUGUAAACGGUGGGUACUAGGUGUGGGGUCCAUUCCACGGGUUCCGUGCCGUAGCUAACGCUUUAAGUACCCCGCCUGGGGAGUACGGCCGCAAGGCUAAAACUCAAAGGAAUUGACGGGGCCCCGCACAAGCGGCGGAGCAUGCGGAUUAAUUCGAUGCAACGCGUAGAACCUUACCUGGGUUUGACAUGGAUCGGGAGUGCUCAGAGAUGGGUGUGCCUCUUUUGGGGUCGGUUCACAGGUGGUGCAUGGCUGUCGUCAGCUCGUGUCGUGAGAUGUUGGGUUAAGUCCCGCAACGAGCGCAACCCUUGUUCACUGUUGCCAGCACGUUAUGGUGGGGACUCAGUGGAGACCGCCGGGGUCAACUCGGAGGAAGGUGGGGAUGACGUCAGGUCAUCAUGCCCCUUAUGUCCAGGGCUUCACGCAUGCUACAAUGGCUGGUACAGAGAGUGGCGAGCCUGUGAGGGUGAGCGAAUCUCGGAAAGCCGGUCUCAGUUCGGAUUGGGGUCUGCGACUCGACCUCAUGAAGUCGGAGUCGCUAGUAAUCGCAGAUCAGCAACGCUGCGGUGAAUACGUUCCCGGG